CACACACCUAGAUAUAAUUGUGAGAACACUUUAAGAAAACUAAGACCACUUUUCUUAGAAGAUAAUUGUAACAUGGCAUCACUCAAAGCUGAGAAACCUGUUGGCUCUCAGUCACCAGAGCAGGUUAAGAAAGAACCUACAAAACCUAGUGGUAGCACUCGAAAAGCUCCAGCUUCCAAGCCAACUCCAAAGAAAACUGAAAAGAGGUCUCGGCCUAAAAAGAAGGCAAGCAGCAGUAAAUAAGCAGAUAUAUCAAUAGUUGUUGGAAUCUUGUGGAGAGUUUGUAUACAUGCUGUCAUACAGGGCUCUUCCAUUAUGUUUUGCUUCUAGUACUUUACCACUUGCUUUUGUUGCUUAAUAGUCAUCUGCAUGUAACUCGAGUUUGCAAGCAUGCUAUCAUAUAAAUAAAAUAUACUUAUUAAUUAUGGAGACAA